GUAGGAUAUGGAGAUAUGAGACCUGUAACAAUGUGGGGAAAGAUUGUAGGUUCAAUGUGUGCAAUUGCUGGUGUUCUAACUAUAGCACUUCCUGUACCUGUUAUUGUGUCAAAC
rfam:Schistosoma mansoni strain Puerto Rico chromosome 3, complete genome